rnacentral:rRNA from 1 species
CCUCGGGAGGCAGCAGUAGGGAAUAUUGGUCAAUGGGCGAAAGCCUGAACCAGCAACGCCGCGUGCGCGAUGAAGGCCUUCGGGUCGUAAAGCGCUUUUGGGAGGGAUGAAAACGACGGUACCUCCCGAAUAAGGAUCGGCUAACUACGUGCCAGCAGCCGCGGUAAGACGUAGGAUCCAAGCGUUAUCCGGAAUUACUGGGCGUAAAGGGCGUGUAGGAGGUUGGGCAAGUCGGCCAUGAAAGCUCCCGGCUCAACUGGGAGAGGCUGGUCGAUACUGCCUGGCUAGAGGGCAAGAGAGGGAGGUGGAAUUCCCGGUGUAGUGGUGAAAUGCGUAGAUAUCGGGAGGAACACCAGUGGCGAAGGCGGCCUCCUGGCUUGUACCUGACUCUGAAACGCGAAAGCAUGGGUAGCAAACAGGAUUAGAAACCCUGGUAGCCCAUGCCAUAAACGAUGUCAACUGGGUGUCGGCGAAGUAAAAUUUGUCGGUGCCGAAGCUAACGCGUUAAGUUGACCGCCUGAGGACUACGAUCGCAAGAUUAAAACUUAAAUGAAUUGACCGG